CCUACGGGAGGGCAGCAGUGGGGAAUAUUGCACAAUGGGGGAAACCCUGAUGCAGCGACGCCGCGUGAGUGAAGAAGUAAUUCGUUAUGUAAAGCUCUAUCAGCAGGGAAGAAAAUGACGGUACCUGCGUAAGAAGCCCCGGCGAACUACGUCCCAGCAGCCGCGGUAAUACGUAGGGGGCAAGCGUUAUCCGGAUUUACGGGGUGUAAAGGGAGCGUAGACGGCAGUGCAAGUCUGGAGUGAAAGGCGGGGGCUCAACCCCCGGACUGCACUGGAAACUGGACGGCUGGAGUGCAGGAGAGGUAAGUGGAAUUCCAAGUGUAGCGGUGAAAUGCGUAGAUAUUAGGAGGAACACCAGUGGCGAAGGCGGCUUACUGGACUGUAACUGACGUUGAGGCUCGAAAGCGUGGGGAGCAAACAGGAUUAGAUACCCUUGUAGUC
rnacentral:rRNA from 1 species